UACGUAGGUGGCAAGCGUUGUCCGGAUUUACUGGGCGUAAAGAGCGCGCAGGCGGUCGUUCAAGUCGAAUGUGAAAGCCCCCGGCUCAACUGGGGAGGGUCAUUCGAUACUGUUCGACUCGAAGGCAGGAGAGGGAAGUGGAAUUCCCGGUGUAGUGGUGAAAUGCGUAGAUAUCGGGAGGAACACCAGUGGCGAAGGCGACUUCCUGGCCUGUUCUUGACGCUGAGGCGCGAAAGCUAGGGGAGCAAACGGG
rnacentral:rRNA from 1 species